rnacentral:lncRNA from 1 species
CCAAGGACAUGAAUUUGAUUUUUUUUUUUUGUGGGUCAGAAUAUUCCGGGUGUUAAACACUUAAUCACAACUAAUUAUUUUGCAAUUGGAAGGAUGGAAGAGGUACAAAGAAAAUCAAGAAAGAAAGGUAGAAGAGAGAGAAAGAGGAAGAGAAGGAGGAAAGAUAAAAAGAGAAAGAGAGAAGAUAGGGAGGGAGACAGGGA